UCUUGAGCCUCUUCAGCCCCGAAACUCUUGAGCCUCUGAACUACAAGCCCCAGAAGUACACGGCCUUUAAAGUGGAAGCAGCACAAUAACAGUAAACUAAAAUUUCCCCCUCAGGGGGCUGUUGGACUCAUUUGUUGAAGGCGAUUUUAACAGGUUGUUUUAAUCAAUAUAAUACUAAUAAUAAUACAAUAUAUUGGGUUGCUGUGAGUUUUCCGGGAGGUCAGGCCAUGUUCCAGAAGCAUUCUCUCCUGAAGUUUCACCCUCAUCCAUGGCAGGCAUCUUCAGAGAUUGUAAGGAGGAAAAAUAAUGCCAGCAAAGCGAGUGCCCUUCCCAGUGUCUUGUGACCGAUCCCUCGGCCUCCCAAACAGGACUUGCAAUACUUUUGGUUGGGUCAUUUUGUUUUCCUGACCUCUGAAUAUUUUGUGAAACAUGUUCCUUCUCUCUAUGCCUUUCUAAACCCAAAACAAAAAGUCUUGAUCCGCUUGACCACAUGGAUCCCAGUUUUCCUUGGGGAAAUAUUUUGAGGAGAAUCCCUUCUCUUCCUUUGGGCUGCCCCUAAAAGCAAAGGAUUGAUAUUGUCGCCUUGAAGGCAAAUGCUUUCAAACACACCCUAAGAAGGAAGCUGGCCAUCUGUCGGGAGGACUUUGAUUGUGUCUUCCUGGGGGUUGGACCGGGUGGCCUUUGGGGGUCUCUUCCAGCUCUAAGAGUCUAUGCAACCCAGUAUUUUUUUUUAAAGGGCUUUGGCGGUAUUUUAUUUAUUUAUUUGCCAGGCCCUAUGACCUGCCUUGGGAUAUAAGAGCCUUAAGAGCUUAAAAGGUCAAAACGGCACCUUGUUCGAUUGCUCGUCUCUGGGAUCACAUGCUCCAAGAAGAGGCCGUCCGGUUCACACUGCCAAGGUGUGGCGCCGAUGGGAAAAGCUGGAGCUGUUUUGCUGCACCGAGCUUUUGCAAACUACAAAACGCCACCAAGGAAAAGUCCCCACUAGCAAGGUCCUCGGGUUCAGCUGUCCUUUGGAAGCCGCACGGGGACAUCGGUCAGAAGCCACGCUCCUGUCUGAUCCUUGUCAAAACAGGCCUUUCAUUGAAUCUUAGAGUUAGAAGAGACCCCCAGGGAUCAUUCAGUUUGACCCCUUUUACCAGGUAGGGAGACACCAUCCAAUCCCUCUCGACAGAUGGCCAUCCUGUUGACGGUAGCAUCUUUUUAACCAUCUUGUUUACAAUAUUCAAUAUUACAUUUUAUUUUAUCUUGUAAAUCGCCUAGAGCAUCUUGGAUGGAGGGCGAUUAAUAAGUAAUUAAAUGAUGAUGAUGAUUAUGAUGAUAUUCACUCGUUGCACCUUACCCAGUUCGUUUUUAUCCUCUUUACUUGGGUGCCAAAUCCAUGUUUGUUAUGAUGUUUGUUAUUUUUAUAUUUUACAAUGUUCAUUUGAAUUUUCGUGUUUUGUAUUUUCUGAUAUUUUAUUUUGGUUUGUUUGUUUUAUCUGGGCUUGGCCCCAUGUAAGCUGCCCCGAGUCCCCUCGGAGAGAUGGAGGCAGGGUAUAAAAAUAAAGUAUUAUUCUUA